GGGUCGGUAGCUCAGCUUGGUUAGAGCGCACGCCUGAUAAGCGUGAGGUCGGAGGUUCAAGUCCUCCUCGACCCACCA
rnacentral:tRNA from 1 species